rnacentral:rRNA from 1 species
UCAGAUGUCAGAGGUGAAAUUCUAAGAUUUUCUGGAGACAAACAACUGCGAAGGCAUUUGUCUAAAAUACUUCCAUUAAUCAAGAACGAAAGUUAAGGGAGUGAAGACGAUCAGAUACCGUCGUAAUCUUAACCAUAAACUAUACCGACUAGGUUUUGGAUGAAAGUUAAACAAAUAAGGAUAGUCUCUUCGGGGAUAGUCCUUAGAUUUCUUCCUUCAGUACCCUAUGAGAAAUCAAAGUCUUUGGGUUCUGGGGCGAGUAUUCGCGCAAGCGAGAAAGUUAAAAGAAUUGACGGAAGGGCACCACCAGGCGUGGAGCUUGCGGCUUAAUUUGACUCAACACGGGAAAACUCACUAGUUUAAGACAAGAGUAGGAUUGACAGAUUGAGAGCUCUUUCUUGAUUUCUUGGAUGGUGAUGCAUGGCCGUUUUUAGUUCGUGAAUAUGAUUUGUCUGGUUAAUUCCGAUAACGAACGAGAUCUUAACCUGCUAAUUA